rnacentral:rRNA from 1 species
AAUGGGCGCAAGCCUGACGGAGCAAGACCGCGUGCGGGAUGAAGGUCUGUGGACUGUAAACCGCUUUUGAUAGGGAAGAAGACAGUGACGGUACCUAUCGAAUCAGCCUCGGCUAACUCCGUGCCAGCAGCCGCGGUAAUACGGAGGAGGCAAGCGUUAUCCGGAAUUAUUGGGCGUAAAGCGUCCGUAGGUGGUGAUGCAAGUCUAUUGUCAAAGCGUGAGGCUUAACCUCAUACCGGCAGUGGAAACUGCAUUGCUAGAGUGCGAUAGGGGCAAGGGGAAUUCCCAGUGUAGCGGUGAAAUGCGUAGAUAUUGGGAAGAACAUCGGUGGCGAAAGCGCCUUGCUGGGUCUGCACUGACACUGAGGGACGAAAGCUAGGGGAGCG